rnacentral:rRNA from 1 species
CGUGAGGAACCUGCCUUUCAGAGGGGGACGAACAAGUUGGAAACGACUGCUAAUACCGCAUGAUACUUGCGAAUGGCAUCAUUUGCAAGUCAAAGAUUUAUCGCUGAAAGAUGGCCUCGCGUCUGACUAGCUAGUUGGUGGGGUAACGGCCCACCAAGGCGACGAUCAGUAGCCGGACUGAGAGGUUGACCGGCCACAUUGGGACUGAGAUACGGCCCAGACUCCUACGGGAGGCAGCAGUGGGGAAUAUUGGGCAAUGGGCGCAAGCCUGACCCAGCAACGCCGCGUGAAGGAAGAAGGCCUUCGGGUUGUAAACUUCUUUUACCAGGGACGAAAAAUGACGGUACCUGGAGAAAAAGCAACGGCUAACUACGUG